rnacentral:rRNA from 1 species
CCUACGGGGAGCUGCAGUGGGGAAUAUUGGACAAUGGGCGAAAGCCUGAUCCAGCCAUGCCGCGUGUGUGAAGAAGGCCUUCGGGUUGUAAAGCACUUUCAGUGGGGAAGAAAGCCUUGGGGCUAAUACCCUCGAGGAAGGACAUCACCCACAGAAUAAGCACCGGCUAACUCCGUGCCAGCAGCCGCGGUAAUACGGAGGGUGCGAGCGUUAAUCGGAAUUACUGGGCGUAAAGCGCGCGUAGGCGGUCUGAUAAGCCGGUUGUGAAAGCCCCGGGCUCAACCUGGGAACGGCAUCCGGAACUGUCAGGCUAGAGUGCAGGAGAGGAAGGGAAAAUUCCCGGUGUAGCGGUGAAAUGCGUAGAGAUCGGGAGGAAUACCAGUGGCGAAGGCGGCCUUCUGGACUGACACUGACGCUGAGGUGCGAAAGCGUGGGUAGCAAACAGGAUUAGAUCCCGGGUAGUC